AUUUUGAAGUGGCAAGGGCAACUGAAAGAGAGGAGAAUGGAGCCUGUCAUUUCACCGCUGGGAAAUGGAACAUUAAAAGAAAUUUCCAAUGAAAACAUGACACUAAAAUCUGAGAUUCAGAUGCAAAAAGAUUGGUGAAAUGGUGUUCCAGCCAUAUGAUGUCAUGAUGAGAGUCAGCAAAGGAUGGCCAGUCCAGGGCUGCUUCAUCACCUGCUAAAGAACUGGACCAGUUCCAUAUAUCGAACCUGAAACUGGUGGCCAGGACCCUUGCAACCCAAGCCAGGACCCUCACAGAUGCCUCCCCCCCAAGCCUCAAAAAUCAAGCACUCUUUGUUCCACCAUGCCUACCCAACAGUACAGGAAACACAUCAGGCUAAUAUCCUGAAGUGUUUGGAGGCCCAUCCAAGAGCCAUCUGUUGCUUACCUCUGUGUUCUCCAGUUUGGGAGACCUCAUGGAAAAUUCAACACAGAUUCAUCUGCAGACAGAACAACAAAGUCAGCACUUAACUGUGCUGAAUUUUACAGAAUUUUCUCCUGCGGAUGGUAUUGAUAUCUUUUAAGUGAACGGAGUAAUGUGGGAAUGAUUCUCUAAGUUAUUGACAGGUGUCCAGAGAGGAGCUGUGUAAGAAACAUUUUGAUCCUUGAGAAUCGCAUCAUAAUGGAUUGGGCUAAUCUCCUGGCUUUUCAGAUCUGUCCAUGUCUAAGACAUAUCUAAGGUCACAUUGUAGCUAUAGACUAAUCAGACUUCUUGCUUCAUCUUGCUCACAUGCCAAGUUAAAGCACUUCCCAGGCUCUGACACCAUUCCUGUUAUAAAAGGUCAGAGUUCCCAGAUACACCGGAAAAUAUCACAGACAUCCAGAGCCUCACAUUCACUUAAUAGCCAUGGUAUUGGAAAAUAUUUUUCUAACUGCUGGGAACGGUGUGUGAAAUCCAUGCCAGGACCUAUUUCCUUCAAAUAUUCGGACAGUGGAAGAAGUUGAUUUCAGCUUCUGCGUUUUCAAACUGCAGUUGAAAGCUUGCACUAUAGCUUGGGUGUGUGUGUGUGUUAGUGGGACAGUCGUACCUCAGAAGUCGAGCAGAAUCCAUU